rnacentral:rRNA from 1 species
UACAGAGGUCCCAAGCGUUGUUCGGAUUUACUGGGCGUAAAGGGCGCGUAGGCGGCCACCGCAAGUCGACUGUGAAAUCUCCGGGCUUAACCCGGAAAGGUCAGCCGAUACUGCGGGGCUAGAGUGCAGAAGGGGCAACUGGAAUUCUCGGUGUAGCGGUGAAAUGCGUAGAUAUCGAGAGGAACACCUGCGGCGAAGGCGGGUUGCUGGGCUGACACUGACGCUGAGGCGCGAAAGCUAGGGGAGCGAACGGG